CACUAUCGUUAACUGAAUACAUAGGUUAACGAGGCGAACCGGGGGAACUGAAACAUCUAAGUACCCCGAGGAAAAGAAAUCAACCGAGAUUCCCCCAGUAGCGGCGAGCGAACGGGGAGCAGCCCAGAGUCUGAAUCAGCUUGUGUGUUAGUGGAACGGUCUGGAAAGUCCGACGGUACAGGGUGAUAGUCCCGUACACCAAAAUGCACAGGCUGUGAACUCGAAGAGUAGGGCGGGACACGUGGUAUCCUGUCUGAAUAUGGGGGGACCAUCCUCCAAGGCUAAAUACUCCUGACUGACCGAUAGUGAACCAGUACCGUGAGGGAAAGGCGAAAAGAACCCCGGCGAGGGGAGUGAAAAAGAACCUGAAACCGUGUACGUACAAGCAGUGGGAGCACCUUCGGGUGUGACUGCGUACCUUUUGUAUAAUGGGUCAGCGACUUAUAUUCUGUAGCAAGGUUAACCGUAUAGGGGAGCCGCAGGGAAACCGAGUCUUAACUGGGCGUUAAGUUGCAGGGUAUAGACCCGAAACCCGGUGAUCUAGCCAUGGGCAGGUUGAAGGUUGGGUAACACUAACUGGAGGACCGAACCGACUAAUGUUGAAAAAUUAGCGGAUGACUUGUGGCUGGGGGUGAAAGGCCAAUCAAACCGGGAGAUAGCUGGUUCUCCCCGAAAGCUAUUUAGGUAGCGCCUCGUGAAUUCAUCUUCGGGGGUAGAGCACUGUUUCGGCUAGGGGGUCAUCCCGACUUACCAACCCGAUGCAAACUACGAAUACCGAAGAAUGUUAUCACGGGAGACACACGGCGGGUGCUAACGUCCGUCGUGAAGAGGGAAACAACCCAGACCGCCAGCUAAGGUCCCAAAGUCAUGGUUAAGUGGGAAACGAUGUGGGAAGGCACAGACAGCCAGGAUGUUGGCUUAGAAGCAGCCAUCAUUUAAAGAAAGCGUAAUAGCUCACUGGUCGAGUCGGCCUGCGCGGAAGAUGUAACGGGGCUAAACCAUGCACCGAAGCUGCGGCAGCGACAC
rnacentral:rRNA from 1 species